rnacentral:rRNA from 1 species
CCUACGGGUGGCUGCAGUGAGGAAUAUUGGUCAAUGGGCGCGAGCCUGAACCAGCCAAGUAGCGUGAAGGAUGACUGCCCUACGGGUUGUAAACUUCUUUUAUAAAGGAACAAAGUGAGGCACGCGUGCCUUUUUGUAUGUACCUUAUGAAUAAGGAUCGGCUAACUCCGUGCCAGCAGCCGCGGUAAUACGGAGGAUCCGAGCGUUAUCCGGAUUUAUUGGGUUUAAAGGGUGCGUAGAUGGGUUGUUAAGUCAGUUGUGAAAGUUUGCGGCUCAACCGUAGAAUUGCAAUGGAUACUGGCAGCCUUGAGUACAGUUGAGGUAGGCGGAAUUCGUGGUGUAGCGGUGAAAUGCUUAGAUAUCACGAAGAACUCCGAUUGCGAAGGCAGCUUACUAAACUGCCACUGACAUUGAUGCUCGAAAGUGUGGGUAUCAAACAGGAUUAGAUACCCGUGUAGUC